UACGUAGGGGGCAAGCGUUAUCCGGAGUUACUGGGCGUAAAGAGCGUGUAGGCGGGGAUGUAAGUUUGGCGUGAAAGCUCCCGGCUAAACUGGGAGAGUGCGCUGAAGACUGUGUAUCUAGAGGCGAGUAGAGGGACGUGGAAUUCCGGGUGUAGUGGUGAAAUGCGUAGAGAUCCGGAGGAACACCAGUGGCGAAGGCGACGUCCUGGGCUUGACCUGACGCUGAGACGCGACAGCACGGGGAGCGAACGGG
rnacentral:rRNA from 1 species